rnacentral:rRNA from 1 species
UACGAAGGGGGCUAGCGUUGCUCGGAAUUACUGGGCGUAAAGCGUGCGUAGACGGUAGCGUAAGUCGGGUGUGAAAGCCCCGGGCUCAACCUGGGAAUUGCAUUCGAGACUGCUCUGCUAGGGUGCGGAAGAGGGAAGCGGAAUUUCCGGUGUAGCGGUGGAAUGCGUAGAUAUCCGGAAGAACACCAAAGGCGAAGGCAGCAUCCUGGGAAGCACCUGACGCUCAGAUGCGAAAGCCAGGGGAGCGAACGGG